rnacentral:rRNA from 1 species
GAAAAGAACUUUGAAGAGAGAGUUCAAGAGUGCGUGAAACCCUCCAGAGGUAAACGGUUGGAAUCAGGCCGUGGCUUCUGGGUUUUCGCUGGGGCAGCUGUCUGCUGAUUAGUCUUGGAGAAUGGAGCGCUUUCGGGUGCUUGGUCUCUGGGACCGAUCAAAUCGCAGGCGUUGUCACUAGUCUUCUCCCAGAUCGCUGCCGCAGCCGGUUGGGGUUGAAAAUUCCCUCUGGUUACCCGCAGGGAGCUGCGCCUUCAACGUUUCGGCGUUGUGUGGUGCAACCUGUUGGGGAUUCGCUGGGGGAAACCUGACCGCAGUUGACAGACUGAUAGGGCGUCGGCACUUGGUGCGGGCGAACUGGUGCGCGACGGGCCGAUCCGGCAGGGUGUUUGCCGCAGUGCAGCUCUCCGGGUUGGUUCGUGUAGGCGCUUGCCAGGUUCUCGCCUUCAGGCGCUCCUAUGCUUUGCGGCAUCUGUUGCCUCUGUUCCUACCGACCCGUCUUGAAACACGGACCAAGGAGUCUAACUUGUAUGCGAGUGAUCGAGUUUUUUUCAAAGCUCGAACGCAAAAUGAAUGUGAAGGUUCUCGUACGAAAGCUGACGGAGGAUCCCCGGAGUAAGCCCUCCUCGUGUGGCAAGGCCGGGGCGCACUCCGGGGGCAUCAAAAACU